GUCGAGAAUAAUUCACAAUGGGGGAAACCCUGAUGGUGCAACGCCGCGUGGAGGAUGAAGGUCUUCGGAUUGUAAACUCCUGUCAUCUGGGAGUAAGACCUGACGGUGAAUAGCCGGCAGGGUUGAUAGUACCAGAAGAGGAAGGGACGGCUAACUUCGUGCCAGCAGCCGCGGUAAUACGAAGGUCCCAAGCGUUGUUCGGAAUCACUGGGCGUAAAGGGAGCGUAGGCGGCGUGGUAAGUCAGAUGUGAAAUCCCGGGGCUCAACCCCGGAACUGCAUCCGAUACUGCCAUGCUUGAGGGUUGGAGAGGUAGCUGGAAUUCUCGGUGUAGCAGUGAAAUGCGUGGAUAUCGAGAGGAACACUCGUGGCGAAGGCGAGUCACUGGACAACAUCUGACGCUGAGGCUCGAAGGCCAGGGGAGCAAAAGGGAUUAGAAACCCGAGUAGUCC
rnacentral:rRNA from 1 species